rnacentral:tRNA from 1 species
GGCGCUGCUGGCCGUCGCGCAGCACUGGGCGCUGGCGGCGCUCGGGAUGCUGCUCUACGGCGCCUCCUGGAUCGCCGCCGGCAGCACCC